GAUGAAGAACGUAGCGAAAUGCGAUACGUAAUGUGAAUUGCAGAAUUCAGUGAAUCAUCGAAUCUUUGAACGCAUAUUGCGCUCUCUGGUAUUCCGGAGAGCAUGCUUGUUUGAGUAUCAGUAAACACCUCAACUUCCAUAUCUUUUUUGAAAUGGGAGUUGGACUUGAGUGAUCCCAACGCUUUUCCUCGCCGAAAAGUGGCGGGUUACUUGAAAUGCAGGUGCAGCUUGACUUUUCUCUGAGCUAUACGCAUAUCUAUUUAGUCUGCCUAAAAACAGAUUAUUACCUUUGCUGCAGCUAACAUAAAGGAGAUUAGUUCUUGUGCUGACUGAUGCAGGAUUCACAAAGACAGGCUUCGGCCGACUUUGUAAACUCGAUCUCAAAUCAAGUAAGACUACCCGCUGAACUUAAGCAUAUCAAUAAGCGGAGGA
rnacentral:misc_RNA from 1 species